AACUCGCUGUGAAGAUGCAGUGUACCCGCGGCAAGACGGAAAGACCCCGUGAACCUUUACUAUAGCUUGACACUGAACAUUGAGCCUUGAUGUGUAGGAUAGGUGGGAGGCUUUGAAGUGUGGACGCCAGUCUGCAUGGAGCCGACCUUGAAAUACCACCCUUUAAUGUUUGAUGUUCUAACGUGGACCCGUAAUCCGGGUUGCGGACAGUGUCUGGUGGGUAGUUUGACUGGGGCGGUCUCCUCCUAAAGAGUAACGGAGGAGCACGAAGGUUGGCUAAUCCUGGUCGGACAUCAGGAGGUUAGUGCAAUGGCAUAAGCCAGCUUGACUGCGAGCGUGACGGCGCGAGCAGGUGCGAAAGCAGGUCAUAGUGAUCCGGUGGUUCUGAAUGGAAGGGCCAUCGCUCAACGGAUAAAAGGUACUCCGGGGAUAACAGGCUGAUACCGCCCAAGAGUUCAUAUCGACGGCGGUGUUUGGCACCUCGAUGUCGGCUCAUCACAUCCUGGGGCUGAAGUAGGUCCCAAGGGUAUGGCUGUUCGCCAUUUAAAGUGGUACGCGAGCUGGGUUUAGAACGUCGUGAGACAGUUCGGUCCCUAUCUGCCGUGGGCGCUGGAGAACUGAGGGGGGCUGCUCCUAGUACGAGAGGACCGGAGUGGACGCAUCACUGGUGUUCGGGUUGUCAUGCCAAUGGCACUGCCCGGUAGCUAAAUGCGGAAGAGAUAAGUGCUGAAAGCAUCUAAGCACGAAACUUGCCCCGAGAUGAGU
rnacentral:rRNA from 1 species